UAAAAACUCUGCCUUUUGCAGAAUCUGCAUAAUGGGCCGUAGGUCCAGAUCUUUCAACGCGCUGUGGCCGACGGUUAUCUUUCAAGAAACCGGCGGUGUGGAAAUGAGUCACCCGCCACUCUUCUUCCAUAUGCGAUUCUUCACUUCCCCUUGCUGUUUAAACAUUCUUAUCGAUGAGUGUUUUGUUUUGUUUUGUUAGUGAAUGCUGAAUCUAUCCGACGCAAUGGGUAAUGUAGCCAGUUCAUUGGCCUCUGGUUUGUUUUUGGCUCUUAACAAAGUAUUUGGAUCUCCACUUGAUUUUCUCUCUGGAAAAUCCUGCAGUGUGUGGAUCAACAUGGGAUUUCAUAUGCUACAUAGAAAAUUUCUGCGUUGCCAAUUUGCUAAAGAUGGGCAUGGUCGUGAUCCUUGCAUACUUUGUUCUUUUACUCCUCUAUUUAUUCCAUAAAAUUGGCAUAUUUGGAUGCAUCGGUCGGGGUCUCUGCAGAAUGAUAUGGACAUGUUUAGCUUCCUAUUGCCAUGCAUGGGAGUACUGCUGCACUUUCAUGUGUAUCAAGCUUGCCAGUGUCAAAAGAACAAGACGACGCCAUAGAAGAAGAGACCUAGAAGAAGAACUCGAAAGUGAAGAAGACGCAAAAUAUCGAUAUGGGUCAUCAAGUGAUUCGAGCAACGACUCCAAAAAGAUUGAGUCGAGAAGGAGCAAACGGGUGUCUCGCAAACGGAGGAGGAGCCACAGAGGUUCUCAAACAAGUAAGACAUUGAGGCCACCGAGCCAUGGAAUUCGAGUGAGGAGUGGUAGAGUGUUGGUCUAUAGUAAGCAUGGAUCAUCCAAGAUCGUGCAGAAAGAAAGAAACUAUAGAAGAGGAAGACAAAUACGAAGGUAAGAGAUUUGAACUUCUAACUUUUUACGAUACAUAAAAUUUAAAUCAGUCAUAUUAAUU